GCCACCUCCCAGCUUCCUCCGGUUGUGAAAGCGGCCUUCGAGUCCUGUGUCCACACGAGGGCGAGGGCGAAGCGGCCUGGGCUCCGCGGCCCGGAAGACGUCCGGGUGACGCAAGAGGUUUGAAGUGGAGAGUGAUGAACUGGAUGUGUAUCCUCAAAGGUCAGGACAGCUGCAGAUAAGGAGAGGAGGGGACAGGCAGGCGGCCAACCACUGUGAAAGUGCCACGGAAGCCCAGAGAGACGGUGGAGGACAGCAGCGGCAGGAAGGACACGGCAGCAGAGGGAGUGUGGGUUCUGCAGCAGAAAGAACUGAAGGGAUCAGCCCCUCGUAUGCCCUUCCUGCACAGGGGAAGACCCCGGUCCCGCGGCGGCCUCAGAAGUCCCAUCUGCAAGCUGCUCUCUCACCCUGAUUGCUGGAUUCUCUCUGAUUCAGGGUAGAAACCUGCAGAAAGACUUCCCGAAUAGGAAAACCCACCAGAGCUGCAGUUUUCAGACUGGGUGGCAAAAUCAGUGGGACAAGGAGCAUUAGGAAAGGAAGAAGAAAGGAAAGAAGGAAGAAGCUGGAACAAAAGAGAAUGCAACGAUACCACCUAGGAGAAUCGGGAUUCUUUCCUGAAACUCGAAUCAUAAAAAGAAUACGGUGUGUUGUACAUUUGGAAUCGAGGUGUUGAAUACACGUCUUACUCGGGUUGCUGUCAAAAAAUGUUUGAAAGCCACUGGCCUGGACUUUUUCUUUUUCUUUCUUUUGAAUGCUUAGAGUAGAAAGGUUUGAAAAGCCAUCUAAUUUAUUUCUCUACGCCUAGACAGUAUUUCAUUUUAAGAACAGUACAGACUUUAAUUAUUUUCUUGCUUAUCGUCCCAUCUCAGCAUUUGCGCCUGAUGAUUUGUGAAUAAUUUGUCUCUUUAAAGCUAUUAUUUCAGUUGGGAAAGCGAUAAAUUAAAAUAGGAAGGCAAUUCUGCCAAGCUUCCCUUCUCUGUCUCCUCUUCUCCCCGUCAUCAGGCCGUGGACACAUUCCAAAUGCGCUGCGGGCCAAGCCUGGCAGGGUCCCCGAGCCCGCCUUCUGUCGCCCUGUCCUGUAAUCAAAUACCCCAGUGGAGCUACGGGUGGUUGUUUUGUAUUGAGGAUUGAACCCAGGGCCUUUGCACUGAAUUACUUACACCCUCAGCCCUUUUUAGUUUUCAUUUUGAGACAGGGUCUUGCCAAAUUGCCUGGCUGGGACUCCAACUUGCAGUCUUUCUGCCUCAGCCUCCCAGAGUGCAGAGCAUACAGGCUUAUACCACCACACCUUUUGUUUGUUUGUUCUUUGGUAUUAGGGAAUUGAACUCAGGACCUUGCACUUGCGAAGCAGGGCAGUACCACUGAGCUAAGUCCCCUAAGUCCCCGGCUUAAUGUUCCUUUUUUGAGUUCAAGUUCCACUAUGAAGUUCAACUUGGCCUUGAACUUGCUAUUGUACCUAGGCUGUCCUUGAACUCUCUAUCCUCCUGCUUCAGCCUCCCAAGGCAUAGGAAUACAGGUAUAUACCACCACCUCUGGCAAAUUUUAGUAUUUCUUUAUCUCAUUCCCUCUUUUUACUUAUUUUUUAAAAAAUUAUCCCCAUGGAUAGGUAAUAGAAACACCUGAUGUACUUGAAUUUGACUUUGUCCCUUCUCAGUAGGGUAGGUCCCUGUUGUGCUAAUCAGGG
rnacentral:lncRNA from 1 species